UACAGAGGUCCCAAGCGUUGUUCGGAUUCAUUGGGCGUAAAGGGUGCGUAGGUGGCGCCAUAAGUCGGGUGUGAAAUCUCGGGGCUUAACUCCGAAACUGCAUUCGAUACUGUGGUGCUCGAGGACUGGAGAGGAGACUGGAAUUCAUGGUGUAGCAGUGAAAUGCGUAGAGAUCAUGAGGAAGACCAGUGGCGAAGGCGGGUCUCUGGACAGUUCCUGACACUGAGGCACGAAGGCCAGGGGAGCAAACGGG
rnacentral:rRNA from 1 species